GAUGAACGCUGGCGGCGUGCUUAACACAUGCAAGUCGAACGGGAUCCAUCAGGCUUUUGCUUGGUGGUGAGAGUGGCGAACGGGUGAGUAAUGCGUGACCGACCUGCCCCAUACACCGGAAUAGCUCCUGGAAACGGGUGGUAAUGCCGGAUGCUCCGACUCCUCGCAUGGGGUGUCGGGAAAGAUUUCAUCGGUAUGGGAUGGGGUCGCGUCCUAUCAGGUAGUCGGCGGGGUAACGGCCCACCGAGCCUACGACGGGUAGCCGGCCUGAGAGGGCGACCGGCCACAUUGGGACUGAGAUACGGCCCAGACUCCUACGGGAGGCAGCAGUGGGGAAUAUUGCACAAUGGGCGCAAGCCUGAUGCAGCGACGCCGCGUGCGGGAUGACGGCCUUCGGGUUGUAAACCGCUUUUGAUCGGGAGCAAGCCUUCGGGUGAGUGUACCUUUCGAAUAAGCACCGGCUAACUACGUGCCAGCAGCCGCGGUAAUACGUAGGGUGCAAGCGUUAUCCGGAAUUAUUGGGCGUAAAGGGCUCGUAGGCGGUUCGUCGCGUCCGGUGUGAAAGUCCAUCGCUUAACGGUGGAUCUGCGCCGGGUACGGGCGGGCUGGAGUGCGGUAGGGGAGACUGGAAUUCCCGGUGUAACGGUGGAAUGUGUAGAUAUCGGGAAGAACACCAAUGGCGAAGGCAGGUCUCUGGGCCGUUACUGACGCUGAGGAGCGAAAGCGUGGGGAGCGAACAGGAUUAGAUACCCUGGUAGUCCACGCCGUAAACGGUGGAUGCUGGAUGUGGGGCCCGUUCCACGGGUUCCGUGUCGGAGCUAACGCGUUAAGCAUCCCGCCUGGGGAGUACGGCCGCAAGGCUAAAACUCAAAGAAAUUGACGGGGGCCCGCACAAGCGGCGGAGCAUGCGGAUUAAUUCGAUGCAACGCGAAGAACCUUACCUGGGCUUGACAUGUUCCCGACAGCCGUAGAGAUAUGGCCUCCCUUCGGGGCGGGUUCACAGGUGGUGCAUGGUCGUCGUCAGCUCGUGUCGUGAGAUGUUGGGUUAAGUCCCGCAACGAGCGCAACCCUCGCCCUGUGUUGCCAGCACGUCAUGGUGGGAACUCACGGGGGACCGCCGGGGUCAACUCGGAGGAAGGUGGGGAUGACGUCAGAUCAUCAUGCCCCUUACGUCCAGGGCUUCACGCAUGCUACAAUGGCCGGUACAACGGGAUGCGACACGGCGACGUGGAGCGGAUCCCUGAAAACCGGUCUCAGUUCGGAUUGGAGUCUGCAACCCGACUCCAUGAAGGCGGAGUCGCUAGUAAUCGCGGAUCAGCAACGCCGCGGUGAAUGCGUUCCCGGGCCU
rnacentral:rRNA from 1 species